UACGUAGGGUGCGAGCGUUGUCCGGAUUUAUUGGGCGUAAAGAGCGUGUAGGCGGCCAGACAAGUCUGCUGUGAAAACUCGAGGCUCAACCUCGAGCUGUCGGUGGAAACUGUCUGGCUAGAGUCCGGAAGAGGAGAGUGGAAUUCCUGGUGUAGCGGUGAAAUGCGCAGAUAUCAGGAAGAACACCUAUGGCGAAGGCAGCUCUCUGGGACGGUACUGACGCUGAGACGCGAAAGCGUGGGGAGCGAACAGG
rnacentral:rRNA from 1 species